rnacentral:rRNA from 1 species
AUGAACGCUGGCGGCGUGCCUAAUACCUGCAAGUCGAACGAAACUUCUUUAUCACCGAGUGCUUGCACUCACCGAUAAAGAGUUGAGUGGCGAACGGGUGAGUAACACGUGGGCAACCUGCCCAAAAGAGGGGGAUAACACUUGGAAACAGGUGCUAAUACCGCAUAACCAUAGUUACCGCAUGGUAACUAUGUAAAAGGUGGCUAUACUACCGCUUUUGGAUGGGCCCGCGGCGCAUUAGCUAGUUGGUAGGGUAAAGGCUUACCAAGGCAAUGAUGCGUAGCCGAAUUGAGAGGUUGAUCGGCCACAUUGGGACUGAGACACGGCCCAAACUCCUACGGGAGGCAGCAGUAGGGAAUCUUCCACAAUGGGCGAAAGCCUGAUGGAGCAACGCCGCGUGGGUGAAGAAGGUCUUCGGAUCGUAAAACCCUGUUGUUAGAGAAGAAAGUGCGUGAGAGUAACUGUUCACGUUUCGACGGUAUCUAACCAGAAAGCCACUGCUAACUACGUG